rnacentral:misc_RNA from 1 species
UCCGAGUUGUCCCCGGCAGUCCUUUUAGAGUCCCCGGCAUUACCCGCUGGCAACACGCCACGGGGGUUGCGCUCGUUGCGGGACUUAACCCAACAUCUCACGACACGAGCCGACGACAGCCAUGCAGCACCUGUGGUGCACCCUCGAAGGUCACACGUUUCCGUGCGCUUGCAGCACCAUGUCAAGCCCAGGUAAGGUUCUUCGCGUUGCAUCGAAUUAAAGAACAUGCUCCGCUGCUUGUGCGGGCCCCCGUCAAUUCCUUUGAGUUUCAGCCUUGCGACCAUACUCCUCAGGCGGGGUACUUAACACUUUUGCCUCGGCCGGGGGCCCAUGCCGGCCCCCAGCCUGGUACCCAUCGUUUAGGGCCAGGACUA